ensembl:misc_RNA Metazoa_SRP Metazoan signal recognition particle RNA
GCUGGGUGUGGUGGUGUGCGCCUGUAGUCCCAGCUACUCAGGAGGCUGAGGCAGGAGAAUUGCUUGAACCUGGGAAGUGGAGGUUGCAGUGAGCUGAGAUGGCGCCACUGCACUUCAGCCUGGGUGACAGAGCAAGACUCUGUCUCAA